CGUUUGAUUGUUAUAUAAAAUAUACAUUGCCUUUACAUAAAGAAUUGGUUCUCAUUGGAUCAUCCUAAGUACUUGUCUCACCAAAUCGUUGUAAAACAAUUCAAUCAAAGAUGGAAUGGGCAGCUAUUUCUCCUUCCAGCGAUAUGGAAGUCCUGGAGUUGGGCUCCUUUAUUGGAGACAAAUAUCAUUUGUCAGAUGAUGCACAAGAAAAAUUAGGAAACAUAUGUUGGAAACUUUGUGACUCUGAGUCAAGUAAAAAAACUAGACAAAUGAUCAUGUUUAGAAACUCUAUGGAUACAGAUAUCAUUCCCGUCAUCCAUUCACAUGUUGAAGAUAAUUUAUUUGUUUAUGAGGCUAUGAUAAAAGUAUUAUCUGAGCUCACAAUGCCAAUUGAGGACUACGUUGAUGUCUUCAAUAAUUCCAACGAAUCUAAUCAAUAUUGCCAUGAAUUGAUAAACUUUU
rnacentral:lncRNA from 1 species